AGUGAACGCUGGCGGUAGGCCUAACACAUGCAAGUCGAACGGCAGCACAGUAAGAGCUUGCUCUUACGGGUGGCGAGUGGCGGACGGGUGAGGAAUACAUCGGAAUCUACUUUUUCGUGGGGGAUAACGUAGGGAAACUUACGCUAAUACCGCAUACGACCUACGGGUGAAAGCAGGGGAUCUUCGGACCUUGCGCGAUUGAAUGAGCCGAUGUCGGAUUAGCUAGUUGGCGGGGUAAAGGCCCACCAAGGCGACGAUCCGUAGCUGGUCUGAGAGGAUGAUCAGCCACACUGGAACUGAGACACGGUCCAGACUCCUACGGGAGGCAGCAGUGGGGAAUAUUGGACAAGGGGCGCAAGCCUGAUCCAGCCAUACCGCGUGGGUGGAGAAGGCCUUCGGGUUGUAAAGCCCUUUUGUUGGGAAAGAAAAGCAGCAGGUUAAUACCCCGCUGUUCUGACGGUACCCAAAGAAUAAGCACCGGCUAACUUCGU
rnacentral:rRNA from 1 species